rnacentral:tRNA from 1 species
GGUAUAGCUCAGUUGGUAGAGCGCCAGAUUGUGGCUCUGGAGGUCAUGGGUUCGAAACCCCUUA